rnacentral:rRNA from 1 species
CCUACGGGUGGCUGCAGUGGGGAAUAUUGGACAAUGGGGGGAACCCUGAUCCAGCCAUGCCGCGUGUGUGAAGAAGGCCCUCGGGUUGUAAAGCACUUUCAGUGAGGAAGAACGCCUGGUGGUUAAUACCCAUCAGGAAAGACAUCACUCACAGAAGAAGCACCGGCUAACUCCGUGCCAGCAGCCGCGGUAAUACGGAGGGUGCGAGCGUUAAUCGGAAUUACUGGGCGUAAAGCGCGCGUAGGUGGCUUGAUAAGCCGGUUGUGAAAGCCCCGGGCUCAACCUGGGAACGGCAUCCGGAACUGUCAAGCUAGAGUGCAGGAGAGGAAGGUAGAAUUCCCGGUGUAGCGGUGAAAUGCGUAGAGAUCGGGAGGAAUACCAGUGGCGAAGGCGGCCUUAUGGACUGACACUGACACUGAGGUGCGAAAGCGUGGGUAGCAAACAGGAUUAGAUACCCUAGUAGUC